AGCAUAUGUAGAUAUGAAUAGCUUCAUUACUUUAUAUGAGCCAGCUGUAUCCUGCAGUUCCACUAAUGAAUCAUACUGUGUUUGAUGGUUAUAGUCUGUUGUCAUUAUGUGGUUGAUGGAGAAGGCCAAAAAGAUGGGAGAAUUUCCAUUUCUUUCCACAGAUGUGAGCUCAGCACUUCCGUGGCUACAGAAAAUGAUGAUCUUUUCAUUAGGAAUGGAGAGAUCUCAGCAAAGUAUGUAUCCACAUGGGUGGAGAGGUGCUGCUGGAUCAGCGCUGCUAUACAUAUACAUUAUCUUAUGCUGGGCACUAGAUCUGGAGCCUAUCCCUGGAACACUGGGGGGAGGCAGGAAUACACCCAGGAUGUGACAGCAGUUUAUCACAGGAUUCUAUCUACACACAUCUUUUUGCCACUUAUUAGCUGGUUGCUCUCAGAUCCUAAUGUAACUUAAAAAGACAGUAGUGACUAAUAUGGCACACCUGAGCUCUGUUUUUCUGUGUGUGUGUGUGUGUGUGUGUGUGUGUGUGUGUGUGUUUUAACACUAAACUAAUAUUGGGUAGGACCCAACUUUGCUCUCAAAACAGCCUCAAUUCUUCAUUAUAUUGAUUCCACAAGAUGUUGGAAGCAUUCCUUUGUGAUUCUGGUCCAUGUCGAUAUGACUGCAUCAUGCAGAUUCCUGCAGAUCUUUCAGGUGCACUUUCAUGCUGCGAAUCUCCUGUUCUACCACAUCUCAAAGGUGUUCUAUUGGAUUCAGAUCCGGUCACUGGAAAGUCCACUGAAGAACACUGAACUCAUUGUCAGGUUCAUGAAACCAGUUUGAGAUGGCUUGUGCUUUGUGACAUGUUACAUUAUCAUGCUCAAAGUAGCCAUUAGAAGAUGGGAAAAUUGUGGCCAUGAAGAGAUGCACAUCAUCAGCAACAAUACUCAAAUAGGCUGUGGCAUUCAAGCGAUGAGUGAUUGGUAUUAGGGGCCAAAGUGGGCCAAGAAAACAUUACACCACCUCCACAAGCCUGGACUGUUGACAGAAGGCAGGUUGGGUCCAUUCAUUCAUGUAGUUGGGGAUAAAUUCUGACCCUAUUAUUUGUGUGCCUCAGUAGAAAUCAGGAUUCAUCAGACCAGGCUACAUUUUUCCAGUCUUCAGCUGUCUAGUUUUGGUGAGACUGUGCCCACUGCAGCCUCAGCUUUCUGUACAUGGCUGACAGGAGUGGAACCUGAAAUAGUUUUCUGCUGUUCGAGGCC
ensembl:lncRNA